rnacentral:rRNA from 1 species
UACGAAGGGGGCUAGCGUUGCUCGGAAUCACUGGGCGUAAAGGGUGCGUAGGCGGGUCUUUAAGUCAGGGGUGAAAUCCUGGAGCUCAACUCCAGAACUGCCUUUGAUACUGAAGAUCUUGAGUUCGGGAGAGGUGAGUGGAACUGCGAGUGUAGAGGUGAAAUUCGUAGAUAUUCGCAAGAACACCAGUGGCGAAGGCGGCCAUCUGGACGGAUACUGACGCUGAGACGCGAAAGCGUGGGUAGCAAACAGG